AAUGAACGCUGGCGGCAGGCCUAACACAUGCAAGUCGAGCGAGGGGCGGACGGGGGAGGACUGUAUGGGGACUGCCCGAAAGAGGGGGAUAACUGCUGGAGACGGUUGCUAAUACCGCAUACUAUCGGAUAACCCAUAUGGUAUGGGCUAGUGGGUGAGGUAAUGGCUCACCAAGGCGACGAUCCCUAGCGGGUCUGAGAGGAUGAUCAGCCACACUGGGACUGAGACACGGCCCAGACUCCUACGGAGGCAGCAGUGGGGAAUAUUGCACAAUGGGCGCAAGCCUGAUGCAGCCAGGCCGCGUGUGUGAAGAAGGUCCUAGGGUUGUAAAGUACUUUCAGUCGGGAGGCGUGACCUACAGAAGAAGCGCCGGCUAACUACGUGCCAGCAGCCGCGGUAAUUC
rnacentral:rRNA from 1 species